rnacentral:piRNA from 1 species
UAGACUCAUAGUUGAAUGUUCAAUCACCGG